rnacentral:rRNA from 1 species
UACGUAGGGACCAAGCGUUGUCCGGAAUCAUUGGGCGUAAAGAGCGUGUAGGCGGCUUGUUAAGUCUUGCGUGAAAUCUCGGGGCUCAACCCCGAGCGGUCGUGAGAAACUGGCAGGCUAGAGUGCGGGAGAGGAGAGUGGAAUUCCUGGUGAGCGGUGAAAUGCGCAGAUAUCAGGAAGAACACCCGUGGCGAAGGCGGCUCCUCUGGAACGGUACUGACGCUGAGACGCGAAAGCGUGGGGAGCGAACAGG